CCAAAGGCCCUUUUCAGGGCCAACAACUGCUGCUUAUGGGCCAAAG
rfam:Poecilia formosa, whole genome shotgun sequence.